AUGACUGAGUCGACGGUAUGUGAAUCGGCAGGAGUGGAGGACCCAGCAGUACGGGACGUGUGCACCACGGCCGUCCCUUGGGGUGAAGCCGCGUCAGCGGCCGGGCAACUUCGCCAGCCCGAACCCGACAGGUCAUCCUUCGCAGGCGGAUGACGAAGGGUUG
rnacentral:sRNA from 2 species